rnacentral:lncRNA from 1 species
UCAAAAUGCUGGGAUUACAAGCGUGAGCCACCUUGCCUGACAGAACACAUACAUUUUUAAUAGUUUAAAGAAAGGACUGUUUGAUACUAUAUUACAAUGCAAAAAGAAAAGAAAGAAAAUAAGAAUAUCAAAUUCUACAGACCUGAACCCCAUGGUUGUGCCUACUACUAACCAGAAUAAAAGAAAUAAGCAAUCUGAAAAACUGCUUUAGCAACUGUUCGAUUCAGAAUAGUUCUGUAAUUAAGUUCCAUAUUUACAGAAUUAUUAAGGGCUUAAAGAGAUCACUUAAAAUUUACACAUAUAUCUAUACACAUACACACACACACACUUUACCAAAUAUUUUUAUUGGGUAAAUUAUAUAGUGCUAUUUGUUAAUUUAGGGGAUUUCAAAAGUUUCAGGAUACAUCCUUUAAAACACCAAUAUUAAACUAUACUAUAGAAUAAAAUCCUUCCAUCAAGGCCAUGAGGCAGGGAGUGAGGAAGAACACACAAAACAAGAGGGGCAGAAUGUUGAUAAUGUUGAAGCUGGUUAUUAGGUAUUUAGAAAUUCAUUAUGCUAUUAUCUCUACAUUUGUAUAUGUUUGAUAACAUUCUCCUAGUAUUUUUUAAAAAAUAAGAUUCUUCCACAGAAUGAUGGGAAGACUCAGUGAGACACAGCAAGGUUUCCUUAACCUUGAGAUUAGAAAAUAGACCAGAAGUCAUAUACAAGCACUGACAAAAGACUAAUUUGGCAUAAAAUAUACACAUUGGAUUUAUUUCUCUAACAAACACACUACUCUCUAUUCAUUUUGAAAGAGCCCACAGGAUAAAAUCUCGUAAACUAUGAUAAUCUAGAGACAAGACCCAAAAAUGUUGAGGUAUAGCCAUCAUAAUUAAGUCCCCUUUACCAAUUCCUGAAUACUCCUGUAAUUGUAUUUACUGUAAAACCUGAAUCACUUUUUAGAGUUGUAAUUUAUAACUCUACUGAGUCUAAGUUCAUACUUUCUUUUUUUAUCAAAGGAUCAGUAACUCCAGUUUCUGGGCUGCUGAUUCACAUAUGAUCAACAGCAGCCAGAACAAAAACAGCAUGGGGGCAGGGUCAUCUCCCACAACCCAUCUGUUUCCCUCUUUUGCUGGCCUGAUUAUGCAUCUUUUCUCCACCCUACCCGCUUUAGGGCUGCAUGCCUUCUGCCUGUACAGAACAACAUACGUACCUAGAAACAACAGCAUGAAAUGUGUUAGAAGAAUGGAAGAACGUAGACAGCUACUGACAACUCUAAAACAUGAGCACUAGCACAAUUCUUUAUCAUGACCCAUGACAAAAAGGUGGUUCUAUGCGACCAAAUGUAAACCUAAUCUUGAAAACUCUUACUGUCUCAGCAGGUACUGCCCUACGUCCUACUGUAGAAGAUGAGGAAAACAGCCAGGCAUGGUGAUGCAUGCCUGUAGUCCCAGCUACUCGGGAGGCUGAGGUAGGAGGACUGCUUGAAUCUGGGAGAUAGAGGUUGCAGUGAGUCAAGACUGUGCCACUGUACUACAGCCUGGAUGAUGGAGUGAAACUAUGUCUAAAAAAAAAAAAAAAAAAGUUACUGUAUAGAAGAUGAGGAAAACAUCAAGUCUUGGCUAAUUAACUGCCCUUGCCUCUGUCUCUACCACACCCAUUAUCUUCAGACACCUUAAAAACUACCAGGCUUUAGAGAUGGCAAAUAAUAGGGCUUCCUAUUCCUUCUUCAUCUUGGAAAUCAUCUAAAAACGAGGAGUACAAGCAACAGAAAAAUAUAACAAAACAAUGGAAAGCACAUGGAAGAGUAAUGUGGCAGAUUAAAGAUGGUUGCAAAUUACCUGACACUUCCUUCCCAUUAAUGGUGGGGUUUAUUUCCUUUGACCUUGAAUCUGAGCUGGCCUCUGCCUUGACCAAUCGAGAACAGUGAAAGUGAUGGUAUGCCAGUUCAGGGUCUAGACUUUAAGAGGACUGGCAGCUUCUACUUUGGUCUCUUGGAGCCCUGUGCCCCCAUGUAAGAAGUCCAACUACCCUGAUGGACAGAUCCUAAAAAGAGGUCUCAUCAGGUGGAUCACGAGGUCAGGAGCUCGAGACCAUCCUAGCUAACAAGGUAAAACCUCAACUCUACAAAAAAUACAAAAAAAUUAGCCGGACGUGGUGGUGGGCACCUGUAGUCCCAGCUACUCAGGAGGCUGAGGCCGGAGAACGGCGUGAACCCGGGAGGCGGAGCUUCCAGUGAGCCGAGAUCGUGCCACUGCACUCCAGCCUGGGCG